CCUUGACGGUACUUAAUGAAUAAGCCCCGGCUAAUUAUGUGCCAGCAGCCGCGGUAAUACAUAAGGGGCGAGCGUUAUCCGGAAUUAUUGGGCGUAAAGGGUGCGUAGGCGGUUUAAUAAGUCUAUAGUUUAAUUUCAGUGCUUAACGCUGUUGUGCUAUAGAAACUGUUUUACUAGAGUGAGUUAGAGGCAAGCGGAAUUCCAUGUGUAGCGGUAAAAUGCGUAAAUAUAUGGAGGAACACCAGAGGCGUAGGCGGCUUGCUGGGACUUUACUGACGCUGAGGCACGAAAGCGUGGGGAGCAAACAGGAUUAGAUACCCUGGUAGUCCACNCCGUAAACGAUGAGUACUAAGUGUCGGGUAAAACCGGUACUGAAGUUAACACAUUAAGUACUCCGCCUGAGUAGUACGUACGCAAGUAUGAAACUUAAAGGAAUUGACGGGACUCCGCACAAGCGGUGGAUCAUGUUGUUUAAUUCGAAGAUACACGAAAAACCUUACCAGGUCUUGACAUUUUCUUGCGAAGUUAUAGAAAUAUAAUGGAGGUUAUCAGGAAAACAGGUGGUGCAUGGUUGUCGUCAGCUCGUGUCGUGAGAUGUUAGGUUAAGUCCUAAAACGAGCGCAACCCUUGUCGUUAAUUGCCAGCAUGUAAUGAUGGGGACUUUAACGAGACUGCCAAUGAAAAAUUGGAGGAAGGUGGGGAUUACGUCAAAUCAUCAUGCCCCUUAUGAUCUGGGCUACAAACGUGAUACAAUGGUUGAUACAAAGAGUAGCUGAAACGCGAGUUCUUAGCCAAUCUCACAAAAUCAU
rnacentral:rRNA from 1 species